AGGACGAACGCUGGCGGCGUGCUUAACACAUGCAAGUCGAGCGGAAAGGCCCUUCGGGGUACUCGAGCGGCGAACGGGUGAGUAACACGUGAGUAAUCUGCCCCUAGCUCUGGGAUAGCUCCGGGAAACCGGGAUUAAUACCAGAUACGACCACUUUAGACAUCUGUUGUGGUGGAAAGAAUUUCGGCUAGGGAUGAGCUCGCGGCCUAUCAGCUUGUUGGUGGGGUAACGGCCUACCAAGGCGACGACGGGUA
rnacentral:rRNA from 1 species